rnacentral:snRNA from 1 species
UCUCCAUAAAAUGGAAGUUAA